AAAAGUUGGAGGGGAAUGUAGGUCGGAUCAGCCCGGGCUCUAAUUUAGUCCGCACAGCGAGACGACGAUAAAAGUUGAUUUUUAACAUUUUUUUGAAAUGGAAAAACAGAAAUGGCCUCAUAAAGCACUGGCAAGUCAAGAGGGCGACGGUCAACAUAAAAUAUGUCUCCAUAUCAUCCGAGAAGUUCUCCGGAAACCCUGUAACCCUGUGGUGACGCAAGCCGGUUUUUCUCCGAAAAGGUGCCGCAUUUGCUCUUGCGCCCAAUGACAGGGAGUCUCCCUGCUCCCUCGGCCAGUGGGAUCGGCUCUCCCGCCCUAUGACAGCUGACGCAGGGCCUUUCGACGUCUAAAUGCCGCACAUUCCGCCCAUAGCGGACCUCUCCCCCAUGGCGACCUGGAUUUACGACAGCGUCCCAUCAACCUUUAUCAGCGCGAUGCCAUGUUGGAUGAGAGGACGUAUGGUCAACGUA